rnacentral:lncRNA from 1 species
GCUCAAUGAGGUACCAAAAUAUUAGCAAGUAAGAAUCAUGGAACUUCGUAUUCAAUUAGUCACAUACGCACAUCAAAUAAAGAAAUGAACAACACCAUAGAUAGAAAGGAUACGGGUGGCUCUCAGGAGCCAAAUUCCCAUUUGCUUCACCGGAGCUUGAUCAAAUAAUAGUUGACACUCCGUCAACUUCCAAAUAAAGUAACCAAUCCAGUCCAGUAGUGCACCACUUUACACCAAAAUUCCGUUCACCACACAUACCCCUUACCGAGCCUGAACAUCUCAACAGAAACAGAAGUGGUAAUACUCGAGUAUACCGGAAUCAAGGGUCUCAAUACCCAAAGAUUCCUAGAACAGAC